rfam:Triticum aestivum genome assembly, contig: Triticum_aestivum_CS42_TGACv1_scaffold_160278_2DL
GUGCUACUCCCUCCGUUCCGAAUUACUUGUCGCAGGUAUGGAUGUAUCUAGAUGUAUUUUAAUUCUAGAUACAUCCAUUUCUGUGACGAGUAAUUUGGAGCAGAGGGAGUAGAUG